UUUCCUCAGCAACGACGUCGACCAUACUCCUCGCAAAUCCUGGUAAGUAACGUUAGUCAGCUAAUCCUACUUACGUGUGUAACACUUUAUUAAAAAGUUAAUAAUUAUUAAGCAUUUCCUAACAAUUGUCUUUGUAUUUUACGUCAUCUUAAACAAGUUCCAAGGCUUAAUCGAAGCCACCUGAAGGACGGCUUUCCUCAGCAACGAAAGUUCAACAAAUUUCGCGGCUCAAGCAAGAGGCACCUGUCACUGAAGGACUGCUUUCCUCAGCAACGACGUGAACAGCAUUACUCGAAUAUCCUGAUUCAGCUGAUCUACCCGUCUUUGUACAAGCGGAGUUGGCAGAGGAGGUCAUAAAAAUCUUCAUCCUUCGGGACAAUGAUGGGGCAGUCAGUGAUGUAGGAGUUGUGAUUGAAGGCAUCACUGUCCUCCGCAAUCUUGGGAAUCUCAGCAGAGCCUGCUGCUAUCUUUUAGGACUCACGUACGCAUUGGAUUUGAGAUAUCCCAAGACCCACAAAUGCUCACUUGAGGUGUUCCAAAAACUGUUUCUUGAGCUGGAUCCUUCAAGACUCUCUGUUAAGGUUCAGAGGUUAAAAAAUUAUCUUCUUGCAUAGUUGCUGUUCAAGAUCAUCCCUCAGAAUGGGCAUUCCUGAUGGAAGUGUUUC